GACCAGCCACAUUCAUGUCACCAUCUGCUCACCCAUGCUCUGAAGGUCAUGGAAACCCUAUCUGGCGAAUGCUAACCAUUGCUAGUCUGCCAACAGGAGACUCAACACAGUAGAAAAUAUUUACUCAAUGCUUCCAAGAAAAUCCGUAGUCAUGCAAGACUCACUCAGGUAGAACAACUUGUAAAAGGAAUGCCAGAGAACCAAAGAAAAAGGACUGACCUUGGCCACGUGCACUAUCUUGAAUACCCAACAGGAAAGUAUAAUGAAAGACUAAAGUAAUUUGUCGCAUAUUACACUCUGCAGCUAUUAAAGUUAAAUCUACAUAA